rnacentral:rRNA from 1 species
UACGGGGGGGGCAAGCGUUGUUCGGAAUUACUGGGCGUAAAGGGCUCGUAGGCGGCCAACUAAGUCAGACGUGAAAUCCCUCGGCUUAACCGGGGAACUGCGUCUGAUACUGGAUGGCUUGAGUUCGGGAGAGGGAUGCGGAAUUCCAGGUGUAGCGGUGAAAUGCGUAGAUAUCUGGAGGAACACCGGUGGCGAAGGCGGCGUCCUGGACCAACACUGACACUGAUGAGCGAAAGCCAGGGGAGCAAACGGG